GAAGGUGGGAGGGCGGGGUGGAAGGUGAGGGAAAGGUGAGGCCGGAAUGGAGUCGCCGUAGCUGGGAGGAGGAAUGCUAGGCUAAAGGAAGGAUGGGGACGAUGGAGGAGGCCGGGUAGGGAAGGAAAAGUGAGAGGGAAGUGUGGGACAUGGAAGGUAAGGGGCACCUGAGCGUGGCAGGAGUUGAAAUAGAAAGAAACAAGAGGCGCGCAACAAGACGGCCAGAGAUCAAAGUAGAGGCAGAGGUAGAAAAUUCAGCUUCAUGAGUGAGGAGUCUGUUUCCCCCUUUCCCUGCCUUGGAUGUAAUGCUGGACAGCGACUGACGUCCAAUCAGACAACAGGACCGCGGGCCCUGUCAUAAUGACAGCCGUGACAUCAUGGCAAGGGCUAGCGGAGAGAAGACAGCGGAGCUCCAGACAGACAAGCGGGGCUGCGCGGUGGACUGCACGCCGACCGAAACGCACCGGCUCCCGGAUCGAAACCGCGGCGCACUACCGGGCUGGGGUUGGGGGGUAAAAAAAAAAAAAAAAAAAUGAACGGGGAAAACAUGCGGAAUGUGCAGGAUGCUACACGCCGGCCACAGGAGUUCUGCCCCCGGACUCACACGGGCUCCCGGGAAGCGAGAGGAAAAAUAUGGAGGAGGUUGAGCGAAAUGGCAUCUUGUUUAAUUUCUGCCAAUCAAGACGAGAGGAAGACAACUCCCAAACUGGCAAAUGAUGUAACAUGAGAACGAAGAUACGAUCGAGGACAAUGUGCGAACCGGACGGCAAAUGGGAACUGCGGAGCAGCGGCUGCUGUAAUCUCCACUGUUCAAUUAGCUGCACUGACCGGGACGCCACCUACACUUCAUUAGCAGGAAGGGGAAGGUGACGAUGAUGGCGUAACGUCAGCCUGAAAGAGACGGAGAAGAUGCUGACGUAUCAAACGCACGCGCGCCAACACGCGGGGGUAAAUGGCAGGCCUCUGUCAGGAGUUUGAGCCAUUUCCAGGUGGA